GCCGGCUUAGCUCAAUUGGUAGAGCACCUGAUUUGUAAUCAGGGGGUUAUGAGUUCAAUUCUUAUAGCCGGCA
rnacentral:tRNA from 1 species